GACGAACGCUGGCGGCGUGCUUAACACAUGCAAGUCGAACGGAAAGGCACUGCUUUUGUGGGGUGCUCGAGUGGCGAACGGGUGAGUAACACGUGAGUAACCUGCCCUUGACUUUGGGAUAACUUCAGGAAACUGGGGCUAAUACCGGAUAGGAGCUCCUGCUGGAUGGUGGGGGUUGGAAAGUUUCGGCGGUUGGGGAUGGACUCGCGGCUUAUCAGCUUGUUGGUGGGGUAGUGGCUUACCAAGGCUUUGACGGGUACCCGGCAUGAGAGGGUGACCGGCCACCUUGGGACUGAGAUACGGACCAGACUCCUAUGGGAGGCAGCAGGGGGGAAUAUUGCACAAUGGGCGGAAGCCUGAUGAAGAAACGCCGCGUGCGGGAUGACGGCCUUCGGGUUGUAAACCGCUUUCGCCUGUGACGCAGCGUGAGUGACGGUAAUGGGUAAAGAAGCACCGGCUAACUACGUG
rnacentral:rRNA from 1 species